CAGCCGCCGCGGGAAUACGUAGGGUGCAAGCGUUAAUCGGAAUUACUGGGCGUAAAGCGUGCGCAGGCGGUUGUGUAAGUCUGAUGUGAAAGCCCCGGGCUCAACCUGGGAACUGCAUUUGAGACUGUAUGGCUAGAGUGUGUCAGAGGGGGGUAGAAUUCCACGUGUAGCAGUGAAAUGCGUAGAUAUGUGGAGGAAUACCGAUGGCGAAGGCAGCCCCCUGGGAUAACACUGACGCUCAUGCACGAAAGCGUGGGGAGCAAACAGGAUUAGAUACCCCGGUAGUCCCUGUCUCUUAUAC
rnacentral:rRNA from 1 species